rnacentral:ncRNA from 1 species
GUGCUGUAUGAAAGGAAAGAAGGUUAGCACUUCCCUUGACAAGAAUGGAAGAGGCCCUCGGGCCUGUCAACAUGUGUAUGGUUAAAACCAGCACCUAAU